rnacentral:rRNA from 1 species
GAUGAACGCUGGCGGCGUGCCUAAUACACGCAAGUCGAGCGAAUGGAUUAAGAGCUUGCUCUUAUGAAGUUAGCGGCGGACGGGUGAGUAACACGUGGGUAACCUGCCCAUAAGACUGGGAUAACUCCGGGAAACCGGGGCUCAUACCGGAUAACAUUUUGAACCGCAUGGUUCGAAAUUGAAAGGUUGCUUCGGCUGUCACUUAUGGAUGGACCCGCGUCGCAUUAGCUAGUUGGUGAGGUAACGGCUCACCAAGGCAACGAUGCGUAGCCGACCUGAGAGGGUGAUCGGCCACACUGGGACUGAGACACGGCCCAGACUCCUACGGGAGGCAGCAGUAGGGAAUCUUCCGCAAUGGACGAAAGUCUGACGGAGCAACGCCGCGUGAGUGAUGAAGGCUUUCGGGUCGUAAAACUCUGUUGUUAGGGAAGAACAAGUGCUAGUUGAAUAAGCUGGCACCUUGACGGUACCUAACCAGAAAGCCACGGCUAACUACGUGCCAGCCGCCGCCGUAA